AUUGAACGCUGGCGGCAGGCCUAACACAUGCAAGUCGAGCGGAUGAAGGGAGCUUGCUCCUGGAUUCAGCGGCGGACGGGUGAGUAAUGCCUAGGAAUCUGCCUGGUAGUGGGGGAUAACGUCCGGAAACGGGCGCUAAUACCGCAUACGUCCUGAGGGAGAAAGUGGGGGAUCUUCGGACCUCGCGCUAUCAGAUGAGCCUAGGUCGGAUUAGCUAGUUGGUGGGGUAAAGGCCUACCAAGGCGACGAUCCGUAACUGGUCUGAGAGGAUGAUCAGUCACACUGGAACUGAGGCACGGUCCAGACUCCUACGGGAGGCAGCAGUGGGGAAUAUUGGACAAUGGGCGAAAGCCUGAUCCAGCCAUGCCGCGUGUGUGAAGAAGGUCUUCGGAUUGUAAAGCACUUUAAGUUGGGAGGAAGGGCAGUAAGUUAAUACCUUGCUGUUUUGACGUUACCAACAGAAUAAGCACCGGCUAACUUCGUG
rnacentral:rRNA from 1 species